rnacentral:rRNA from 1 species
UACGGGGGGAGCAAGCGUUGUUCGGAUUUACUGGGCGUAAAGGGCGCGUAGGCGGCCACCGCAAGUCGACUGUGAAAUCUCCGGGCUUAACCCGGAAAGGUCAGCCGAUACUGCGGGGCUAGAGUGCAGAAGGGGCAACUGGAAUUCUCGGUGUAGCGGUGAAAUGCGUAGAGAUCGGGAGGAACACCCGUGGCGAAGGCGGCCAUCUGGACCAGUACUGACGCUGAGGCACGAAAGCGUGGGGAGCAAACAGG